rnacentral:lncRNA from 1 species
UGUCUGGCUUUUUCCCAGUGACAGAGGCUGGGAGGGGGAGGUCCUCACCCAGGGAGAGGGUUGUGGACAGAGAUGUAGAUUGUGCCCACACAUCUUCAUUUUAUUUACCCCUGAUCCCCUUGGUCUCACAGCAGGCACCUUGCACUUGCCAAGGGCAUUGAGCCAUGUGCUUAGUUCACCUUUCCAGUAUGCCAAGGCGUCAUGUUUCCUAAACACCUGGGUAUUAGUCAAAACUGGGGCACUAUUGGAGAAGAUAUGGAAGAGAGCCCAGUGGGCUCUUUCCUACUCAGUUGGGUCUGCCUUACUCAGAAUGCCUGGCAGGGACAAAAGGAAGAGUCUCCCAGUGGCCCCUGUUCUGUCUCUCUUGGGCUGUGUUGGUAAACCUAGAGGUAAGGGGGGGACCUGUGGUUAGGCAGAUAGAAAUGUCUUGCUCUUCUAGUGCUUCUGGGCAGCUGGGAACAGCUAAUUCUGGUCGUCCUCUUCAGUCGCCUGGCUAUAAGAUGACUACAGAAGAUUAUAAGAAGCUAGCCCCGUACAACAUCAGGUGCAGCUCCGUAUCAGGGACUGAGGAAGAGGAGGUGCCAUUCACCCCAGAUGAGCAGAAACGGAGGUGACGGUGUUUAUUAUGGGCUUACCCAUGGGCAGGGCAGGGGCCAGAGUCUUCACAGAUUGCUGAAAAGAAUCAUUAUGAGUUAGAGUACAAAAUGCAUAACACAUAAAUCAUGAGGACACCCCAUGUCUUUCCAGAAGUCUAGGAACAAUCUCUCAGUGCUGGACUAGACACUUCUGAGACCCUUCUAGAAAUAGAAUCUAGGAAACACAGGUCUACU